UGCAGAAUAUGAGACAUGUUUGGACUGUUAUACCCAGCCAACAGAAACAGAGCUCUGGACAUGUGGACAGACAAUGACUGUAAAGAUGGACAUCUGCUGAUGCACAGGCCAAAAGCAUAACCCCUUCUGGACAUCGUGCUGGAGCUCAGGGGGGGACCCCACGAUCCCCCACACCUUCUCACUCAUAUCGCAGAGAUCUGUCUGGACUCAAACCAGCAACCUCUGAACCAUGAGGCAGUGCUCUUACCACUGAGCCACAGAUCUCUUGUGAGAACAUGUGCAGGAAUUUAUAUUUCACGAUUUACAUGUAUGUCACUUGGGAUUUUACAAUAAACCAAUUAAAGUUACAAGCUAACACUGAGCCAGGGUUUGAAGCCAUGACUCCAUCGCAACCAUGUCCAUAACUAACAUGUGUUUUGCCACUGCACCAUCACAGCUUUCA